GAUCAUGGCUCAGGACGAACGCUGGCGGCGCGCCUAAUACAUGCAAGUCGAACGAGAGCGACCGGUGCUUGCACUGGUCAAUCUAGUGGCGAACGGGUGAGUAACACGUGGGUAACCUGCCCAUCAGAGGGGGAUAACAUUCGGAAACGGAUGCUAAAACCGCAUAGGUCCUUGAACCGCAUGGUUGAAGGAGGAAAAGAGGCGCAAGCUUCUGCUGAUGGAUGGACCCGCGGUG
rnacentral:rRNA from 1 species